GUAAUCUGUAGAAUCUUUUAUAAAAGAUGGCAAGUUUUCUACAUGUGGUCGAAGAUAGUAAUCAACGAAUUCGGAUAUUUUUUUCGGUGGGAUGACCAUUAGCUGAGACGAUUGGUCUACCUGGGUUACCAGGUUUAUGAAUUUUAGGGAGCAGGUAGAAUCGCCCAGGUUUUGAAUUUUCAGGUUUUAAAUAUUUGAAAGUAUCUAUAUCAAUGAUGUUAUUGUCACACAUUUCCUUUAAACAUUCUGUUAUUUCCUCGCUGAAUUGGAGGGUGGG
rnacentral:lncRNA from 1 species